GUCGAGCGGAAUGACGAGAGCUUGCUCUUUGACUUUAGCGGCGGACGGGUGAGUAACACGUGGGCAACCUGCCCUACAGAUGGGGAUAACUCCGGGAAACCGGGGCUAAUACCGAAUAAUCAGUUUGUCCGCAUGGGCAAACUCUGAAAGACGGUUUCGGCUGUCACUGUAGGAUGGGCCCGCGGCGCAUUAGCUAGUUGGUGGGGUAAUGGCCUACCAAGGCAACGAUGCGUAGCCGACCUGAGAGGGUGAUCGGCCACACUGGGACUGAGACACGGCCCAGACUCCUACGGGAGGCAGCAGUAGGGAAUCUUCCACAAUGGACGAAAGUCUGAUGGAGCAAUGCCGCGUGAGCGAAGAAGGUUUUCGGAUCGUAAAGCUCUGUUGUAAGGGAAGAACACGUACGGGAGUAACUGCCCGUGCCAUGACGGUACCUUAUUAGAAAGCCACGGCUAACUACGUGCCAGCAGCCGCGGUAAUACGUAGGUGGCAAGCGUUGUCCGGAAUUAUUGGGCGUAAAGCGCGCGCAGGCGGUUCUUUAAGUCUGAUGUGAAAGCCCACGGCUCAACCGUGGAGGGUCAUUGGAAACUGGAGAACUUGAGUACAGAAGAGGAAAACGGAAUUCCACGUGUAGCGGUGAAAUGCGUA
rnacentral:rRNA from 1 species